rnacentral:lncRNA from 1 species
GGAACACUCAGGAGAUGGCGCCCCACUGGAGGAAGUGUUGAAGUUACCAAGUAAAUACCUGCUGCUUACACUGCUGCCUCCACUUUCAGGGCGAGCCCCCUACAACCUUGGUUAGGGAUAAAGCUCUGCAGAGCUAUCUAUCUUAGCCUCUGCACUUACCUAGCCCAUCUGGUUCCUCAAGAUCUCCCCAAGAAAGGAUUCAAUGAAACUGAUGAAGCUCCUGGGUUGCCAUGGAGAUACAAGGAUACAUCUAACUGGAAACCAGGAGCCAAGCUGGAGACUUUGCUCUACAAUCAUUUCCUUCCCCCGGCUCAUUUUCUAAUCCAAACAUUUGAGGAUGAGGUAUCUGGGUCCUUAUUUAAGCCAUCAACUAGAAAGCAGUCACCGUCCCCGACACCUCAGCAAAGCACAGAGAUUUCCGCAGCCAUAAUAAAGGUCAGGAGAGGAAGAGACAGAGUUAUCUAAAUCCACAGCUAUAUCCAGGUUCAUGAAGAAUGGCAGAUUGAGUCUUGAGAAGCCAGUGGAGAACAAGAUGAAGGCAACACGUGUGCUGUUAUUUCUUCUUUCCUCCAUCCCUCUUCCUUUCCUGUUACAACAACAGUAAUCACAGCAAGUAAAAACAGCAAGCCUGUGACCCCUCUGAACCGAUGCUAUCCAUCCCUCAACAGACGCUCUUCCCAC